GCUAAAAGCCUAGCUCCAACCAUACUUAUGCAACCUUUCCACCUAUUACCUUAAAACUAAAACAUUCUAACAGUUUAGUAAAGGAGAUUGAAAAAUUUAUUGAAGCAAUAUAAUUAGUACCGCAAGGGAAAGAUGAAAUAUGAAUGAAAAAUCUUUAAGCAAGAGAAAGUAGAGAUUUACCCUCGUACCUUUUGCAUCAUGGUUCAACUAGUCCAACCAAGCAAAAAGCAUUAUAGUUUGACACCCCGAAACUAGGCGAGCUACUUCGAGGCAGCCUUUAGAGCUAACCCGUCUCUGUGACAAAAGAGUGGGAAGACCACCAAGUAGCGGCGACAAACCAACCGAGCCUAGUGAUAGCUGGUUACUCAAGAAAAGGAUUUAAGUCCAACCUAAAGUCCUCCCAUUACACCAAAAAUGCCCUGACUUUAGAGCAAUUCAAAUAAGGUACAGCCUAUUUGAAACAGGAUACAACCUCACCUGAUGGCUAAAAUUUACCCUCUAACUUAAAGUUGGCCUAAAAGCAGCCAUCUUUUAAAAAGCGUCACAGCUUAGUCUUGAACUAACUUCAAUACCAUGCCUAUAUUUUAACCCUCUAUCAGUACUGAGUAAUUCUAUACCAUUAUAGAAGAUUUUAUGUUGAAACUAGUAACAAGAAGUUAGACCUUCUCUUAAAUGCAAGCAUAAAUCAGAAAGGACCAACCACUGAUAAUUAACGCCAAUGAUCACCAAUCAGCAACUUCCAAAGAAAAAUCUUAUUAUCAUCAGCGUUAACCUGACACAAGAGCAUUUCAAGAAAGAUUCAAAGAAAGAGAAGGAACUCGGCAAACAUUAACCCCGCCUGUUUACCAAAAACAUCGCCUCUUGAACAAAAAUAAGAGGUCCAGCCUGCCCAGUGACUAAUGUUCAACGGCCGCGGUAUCCUAACCGUGCGAAGGUAGCGUAAUCACUUGUUCUUUAAAUGAGGACUAGUAUGAACGGCACCACGAGGGUUAUACUGUCUCCUCUCUCUAAUCAGUGAAACUAAUCCCCCCGUGAAGAAGCGGGGAUAAAACUAUAAGACGAGAAGACCCUAUGGAGCUUUAAACUUAUCCUCAAACGCCAAAAAUAACACACCAAGUUUUAAACUUUACCACAUGAACUCUCGCGUCAUGAGGACAAUUUUUAGGUUGGGGUGACCAUGGAGUAUAAAAUAACCUCCAUGCUGAAUAGGCCUCCAAGCCUCGAGCCAAGGGCUACGACCCAUCGCACUAAAAUAUUAACAUCCAUUGAUCCAAUGUACUUUGAUCAACGAACCAAGUUACCCUAGGGAUAACAGCGCAAUCUACUUCAAGAGUUCCUAUCGACAAGUGGGUUUACGACCUCGAUGUUGGAUCAGGGUGUCCCAGUGGUGCAGCCGCUACUAAUGGUUCGUUUGUUCAACGAUUAAAACCCU
rnacentral:rRNA from 1 species